rnacentral:piRNA from 1 species
UCUUGUCUUCGUUAAAUUCCAGUCCACAGA